GUGCUGAAAUCUUCAAAACCAAUGGCAGAUGCUUUUUGCAUUUGGGGAGUUGAUAAGGGAUGAAAGACCAAAAAAGAAGGAGGAAGUUUCGGUAGAUAGUUUCAAUAGAGAAAUGUGGAUACAUCAUACAUACUGUUACUUCAUUUAAGAUAGGUUUAAUAUUUUUUAUUUUGUUGAUGAGUAGCCACUGUUAUGAACUAUUAAUGAUAGUUAUAUAUGACUGAAAUGACAUUGGGAUUUAUGAUUGUUUAAUGUUUUAGUUUGAGUUGUCA